UGGAAGUAAAAGUCGUAACAAGGUCUCCGUUGGUGAACCAGCGGAGGGAUCAUUACAGAGUUGCAAAACUCCCUAAACCAUUGUGAACGUUACCUAUACCGUUGCUUCGGCGGGCGGCCCCGGGGUUUACCCCCCGGGCGCCCCUGGGCCCCACCGCGGGCGCCCGCCGGAGGUCACCAAACUCUUGAUAAUUUAUGGCCUCUCUGAGUCUUCUGUACUGAAUAAGUCAAAACUUUCAACAACGGAUCUCUUGGUUCUGGCAUCGAUGAAGAACGCAGCGAAAUGCGAUAAGUAAUGUGAAUUGCAGAAUUCAGUGAAUCAUCGAAUCUUUGAACGCACAUUGCGCCCGCCAGCAUUCUGGCGGGCAUGCCUGUUCGAGCGUCAUUUCAACCAUCAAGCCCCCGGGCUUGUGUUGGGGACCUGCGGCUGCCGCAGGCCCUGAAAAGCAGUGGCGGGCUCGCUGUCGCACCGAGCGUAGUAGCAUACAUCUCGCUCUGGUCGCGCCGCGGGUUCCGGCCGUUAAACCACCUUUUAACCCAAGGUUGACCUUCGGAU
rnacentral:rRNA from 1 species